GAUUUUAGAUUCAAAGAUUCAAGAGAUUCCACAUUAACAUAUGGAAACCUCAAAAGGCUUUCACACUCA